ACAUCAAUAUUUUGGGUCCAUGGCCAGGAAACUCUCCAGACCUUAAUCCCAUUGAGAACUUGUGGUCAAUCCUCAAGAGGCGGGUGGACAAACAAAAACCCAAAUUAUGACAAACUCCAAGCAUUGAUUAUGCAAGAAUGGGCUGCCAUCAGUCAGGAUGUGGCCCAGAAGUUAAUUGACAGCAUGCCAUCAGUCAGGAUGUGGCCCAGAAGUUAAUUGACAGCAUGCCAUCAGUCAGGAUGUGGCCCAGAAGGUAAUUGACAGCAUGCCAUCAGUCAGGAUGUGGCCCAGAAGGUAAUUGACAGCAUGCCAUCAGUCAGGAUGUGGCCCAGAAGUUAAUUGACAGCAUGCCAUCAGUCAGGAUGUGGCCCAGAAGUUAAUUGACAGCAUGCCAUCAGUCAGGAUGUGGCCCAGAAGUUAAUUGACAGCAUGCCAUCAGUCAGGAUGUGGCCCAGAAGUUAAUUGACAGCAUGCCAUCAGUCAGGAUGUGGCCCAGAAGUUAAUUGACAGCAUGCCAUCAGUCAGGAUGUGGCCCAGAAGUUAAUUGACAGCAUGCCAUCAGUCAGGAUGUGGCCCAGAAGUUAAUUGACAGCAUGCCAUCAGUCAGGAUGUGGCCCAGAAGUUAAUUGACAGCAUGCCAUCAGUCAGGAUGUGGCCCAGAAGUUAAUUGACAGCAUGCCAUCAGUCAGGAUGUGGCCC